rnacentral:lncRNA from 1 species
CUCUCUAUAAAAUGGGGCAUACAAAGUCUCUUGUCCCCUGGGUGAAGUUAGGGUGUGUAUCCCUGUGUUCUGCAAGGAAGGUUUUACACUCCACUUGUUUCAAUGCAGUGCCUUGCUGCCUUGAGCACAGGAACCACCAGUGAUAUACCAAACCAGCCAUGUGCUUUUUGUUAUUCUCAGCCUCAUCAACAGCACUGUAUUCCCCACAAGCCAAGCAACUGCUCUGUUUCCGUGAAAAACAGAUUCCAGCUUCUGUCUAAGGACAGGUGGAACAUGGAAUUUUGUGCAAUUUUUCUGAAAAAAAAAAGAAGGAAGGAAGGAAGGAAGGAAGGAAGGAAGGAAGGAAGGAAGGAAAUCAUGAACUAGGAAUCUUAUGAACCAAAAAUAAGAUGAAAAAACCUGCUAGUGGAACACUCACUGCAAGAAAGCCACUGUGCCACAUACUAGGUUUCCAAAAGAGGCUGGUGAUUAGUGAUUGAAUUGCCCUUCAUCUUGUGCAGAUCAAAGAUUAAAAGAUUCCUUGAGGGGCCAUCCAAAUUCAGCAAGCGCUUUUGAGAACCUUGGCCAAUACAUUCCUAAGAGAGCUGCAAGAAAGUGCUGAGAAUCUCAGAAGAGCUUGCAGUGCUGCUGAUAUGGGCCCAUGAACAGGGAAGGAUCAUGUGUGUGUCUAUUUAUAUUUAUGUGCUGUAUCUAGUGAGACAAGCAACAGAAAAGAGGAGCCUUGUCAAGAUUAUCUGUCAUGAGAUAGGAGAAACCCAUGUAUCACUCAUCCUGAAGGCUGUGCACCAAGGAGCAAAAGAACCUCACACUCCCCUGACAAUGAAAAUAAUGAAGUCAGAUUAUCCAAGGAAACUGUGAGUUUGCCUUACCCACAAACCUCAGCCCCAGGGAUUGAAGAAGAAUUAUCAGAAAGGUCAUUCAGAGAAGUCAGAGUCAAGGACAGAGCUGAACAGCCACUGAAACCCAUAAGGAGAAAACACAGAGCUCACAAGAAGGGAGAAAGCAGAAGGGAGAAUUCAAGGGAAAUAAAUAACAACAUGAAAAAUUUUAACA